rnacentral:misc_RNA from 1 species
AUGAAUUUUGGAGUUCUACUGUGCCUGCCGUUCAUUCGGAUGUGUGCACGUAGUCUCUAUAAAUCCUUAUCAACACCUGCGCACCUUUAAAAAGGGGGGAGUCCGAUUAAGCAUUUUAUGAUGCUUAUGACGAAUAACCUCUUUUCUUAUACAAACUCUUUUAAUGUCUAUUAGAAUGUUCUCUGGCCGCAAGGCUAUAAAAUAUAAA